rnacentral:rRNA from 1 species
ACAGUGGACGCGAGCAUCUGUGGCCAAGUUUUUAAGGGCGCACGGUGGAUGCCUUGGCACCAGGAACCGAUGAAGGACGUGGGAGGCCACGAUAGUCCCCGGGGAGUCGUCAACCAGGCUUUGAUCCGGGGGUUUCCGAAUGGGGAAACCCGGCAGUCGUCAUGGGCUGUCACCCAUACCUGAACACAUAGGGUAUGUGGAGGGAACGCGGGGAAGUGAAACAUCUCAGUACCCGCAGGAAGAGAAAACAACCGUGAUUCCGGGAGUAGUGGCGAGCGAAACCGGAUGAGGCCAAACCGUAUGCGUGUGAGACCCGGCAGGGGUUGCGCAUGCGGGGUUGUGGGAUCUCUCUUUCACAGUCUGCCGGCUGUGAGGCGAGUCAGAAACCGUUGAUGUAGGCGAAGGACAUGCGAAAGGUCCGGCGUAGAGGGUAAGACCCCCGUAGUCGAAACAUCAGCGGCUCGUUUGAGAGACACCCAAGUAGCACGGGGCCCGAGAAAUCCCGUGUGAAUCUGGCGGGACCACCCGCUAAGCCUAAAUAUUCCCUGGUGACCGAUAGCGGAUAGUACCGUGAGGGAAUGGUGAAAAGUACCGCGGGAGCGGAGUGAAAUAGUACCUGAAACCGUGUGCCUACAAGCCGUGGGAGCGUCGGAUACGUGCUUGCACGUAUCUCGUGACUGCGUGCCUUUUGAAGAAUGAGCCUGCGAGUUUGCGGUGUGUUGCGAGGUUAACCCGGGUGGGGAAGCCGUAGCGAAAGCGAGUCCGAAUAGGGCGAUUCAGUAGCACGCUCAAGACCCGAAGCGGAGUGAUCUAGCCAUGGGCAGGUUGAAGCGGAGGUAAGACUUCGUGGAGGACCGAACCCACCAGGGUUGAAAACCUGGGGGAUGACCUGUGGUUAGGGGUGAAAGGCCAAUCAAACUCCGUGAUAGCUGGUUCUCCCCGAAAUGCAUUUAGGUGCAGCGUCGUGUGUUUCUUGCCGGAGGUAGAGCACUGGAUAGGCGAUGGGCCCUACCGGGUUACUGACCUUAGCCAAACUCCGAAUGCCGGUAAGUGAGAGCGCGGCAGUGAGACUGUGGGGGAUAAGCUCCAUGGUCGAGAGGGAAACAGCCCAGAGCAUCGACUAAGGCCCCUAAGCGUACGCUAAGUGGGAAAGGAUGUGGAGUCGCACAGACAACCAGGAGGUUGGCUUAGAAGCAGCCACCCUUGAAAGAGUGCGUAAUAGCUCACUGGUCUAGUGAUUCCGCGCCGACAAUGUAGCGGGGCUCAAGCGUACCGCCGAAGUCGUGUCAUUGCAGCAAUAAGCCCCAACGGGUGCUGUGAUGGGUAGGGGAGCGUCGUGUGCCGGGUGAAGCUGCGCCGGAAGGCAGUGGUGGACGGUUCACGAGUGAGAAUGCAGGCAUGAGUAGCGAUACAAACGUGAGAAACGUUUGCGCCGAUUGACUAAGGGUUCCUGGGUCAAGCUGAUCUGCCCAGGGUAAGUCGGGACCUAAGGCGAGGCCGACAGGCGUAGUCGAUGGAUAACCGGUUGAUAUUCCGGUACCCGCUGUGAAGCGUCAAACAUCGAGCAUCGUGAUGCUAAGGCCGUGAAGCCGUUCCGGACCCUUCGGGGAAAGGAAAGUGGUGGAGCCGCCGGCCCAAGCGGUUAGUAGGUGAGUGAUGGGGUGACGCAGGAAGGUAGUCCAUCCCGGGCGGUGGUUGUCCCGGGGUAAGGGUGUAGGCCGUGCGAUAGGCAAAUCCGUCGCACAUUAAGGCUGAGACCUGAUGCCGAGCCGAUUGUGGUGAAGUGGAUGAUCCUAUGCUGUCGAGAAAAGCCUCUAGCGAGUUUCAUGGCGGCCCGUACCCUAAACCGACUCAGGUGGUCAGGUAGAGAAUACCGAGGCGUUCGGGUGAACUAUGGUUAAGGAACUCGGCAAAAUGCCCCCGUAACUUCGGGAGAAGGGGGGCCACGCUUGGUGAUCGGAUUUACUCCGUGAGCUGGGGGUGGCCGCAGAGACCAGCGAGAAGCGACUGUUUACUAAAAACACAGGUCCGUGCGAAGCCGUAAGGCGAUGUAUACGGACUGACGCCUGCCCGGUGCUGGAACGUUAAGGGGACCGGUUAGUCACUCUUCGGGGUGGCGAAGCUGAGAACUUAAGCGCCAGUAAACGGCGGUGGUAACUAUAACCAUCCUAAGGUAGCGAAAUUCCUUGUCGGGUAAGUUCCGACCUGCACGAAUGGCGUAACGACUUCUCGACUGUCUCAACCAUAGGCCCGGUGAAAUUGCACUACGAGUAAAGAUGCUCGUUUCGCGCAGCAGGACGGAAAGACCCCGGGACCUUUACUACAGUUUGAUAUUGGUGUUCGGUUCGGCUUGUGUAGGAUAGCUGGGAGACUUUGAAACUCGGACGCCAGUUCGGGUGGAGUCGUCGUUGAAAUACCAGUCUGGUCGUGCUGGAUGUCUAACCUGGGUCCGUGAUCCGGAUCAGGGACAGUGUCUGAUGGGUAGUUUAACUGGGGCGGUUGCCUCCUAAAGAGUAACGGAGGCGCCCAAAGGUUCCCUCAGCCUGGUUGGCAAUCAGGUGUUGAGUGUAAGUGCACAAGGGAGCUUGACUGUGAGACCGACGGGUCGAGCAGGGACGAAAGUCGGGACUAGUGAUCCGGCGGUGGCUUGUGGAAGCGCCGUCGCUCAACGGAUAAAAGGUACCCCGGGGAUAACAGGCUGAUCUUCCCCAAGAGUCCAUAUCGACGGGAUGGUUUGGCACCUCGAUGUCGGCUCGUCGCAUCCUGGGGCUGGAGUCGGUCCCAAGGGUUGGGCUGUUCGCCCAUUAAAGCGGUACGCGAGCUGGGUUUAGAACGUCGUGAGACAGUUCGGUCCCUAUCCGCUGCGCGCGCAGGAAUAUUGAGAAGGGCUGUCCCUAGUACGAGAGGACCGGGACGGACGAACCUCUGGUGUGCCAGUUGUUCUGCCAAGGGCAUGGCUGGUUGGCUACGUUCGGGAGGGAUAACCGCUGAAAGCAUCUAAGCGGGAAGCCUGCUUCGAGAUGAGUAUUCCCACCCACUUGAUGGGGUAAGGCUCCCAGUAGACGACUGGGUUGAUAGGCCGGAUCUGGAAGCCCAGUAAUGGGUGGAGGUGACCGGUACUAAUAGGCCGAGGGCUUGUCCUCAGUUG